UACGUAGGGUGCGAGCGUUAAUCGGAAUUACUGGGCGUAAAGCGUGCGCAGGCUGUUUUGUAAGUCAGAUGUGAAAUCCCCGAGCUCAACUUGGGAACUGCGUUUGAAACUACAAGACUAGAAUAGGUCAGAGGGGGGUAGAAUUCCACGUGUAGCAGUGAAAUGCGUAGAGAUGUGGAGGAAUAUCAAUGGCGAAGGCAGCCCCCUGGGAUCAUAUUGACGCUCAUGCACGAAAGCGUGGGGAGCAAAC
rnacentral:rRNA from 1 species